CCUACGGGAGGCAGCAGUGGGGAAUCUUGCGCAAUGGGCGAAAGCCUGACGCAGCCAUGCCGCGUGAAUGAUGAAGGUCUUAGGAUUGUAAAAUUCUUUCACCGGGGACGAUAAUGACGGUACCCGGAGAAGAAGCCCCGGCUAACUUCGUGCCAGCAGCCGCGGUAAUACGAAGGGGGCUAGCGUUGCUCGGAAUUACUGGGCGUAAAGGGAGCGUAGGCGGAUAGUUUAGUCAGAGGUGAAAGCCCAGGGCUCAACCUUGGAAUUGCCUUUGAUACUGGCUAUCUUGAGUAUGGGAGAGGUUAGCGGAACUCCGAGUGUAGAGGUGAAAUUCGUAGAUAUUCGGAAGAACACCAGUGGCGAAGGCGGCUAACUGGCCCAUUACUGACGCUGAGGCUCGAAAGCGUGGGGAGCAAACAGGAUUAGAUACCCUGGUAGUCCACGCCGUAAACGAUGAGUGCUAGUUGUCGGCAUGCAUGCAUGUCGGUGACGCAGCUAACGACAUUAAGACACCUCCGCCGUCGGGGAGGUACGGUCGGCGAACGAAUUAAAACGUUAAAAGGUAAAGUUAGACGGACGUGAGACGUCGCCGACGGACGACGACGAGGGAGGAGG
rnacentral:rRNA from 1 species